rnacentral:lncRNA from 1 species
UAGGACUUUCUAGUUGGAUUUCAUCUAUCUUUUUGCUACAAACACGCCGAAGGGCGAUUCAAUAAUAAACUCCACUAAUAAAAGCAAUAUCUAUACAAAAUUCAUGCAAAGUCUUAAGGUUUAAGUAAUUAAUUUUACUCAUGCAAACAUGGAGGGGAAUUUGUGGGCUGGCACUUUUUUUUCUCAUAACAAAGCAAAAGGAAUCUAUGUAUGACCCCACGAAAACCAAAAGUUCUUCACAUACUAAUGGAGAAUCUUAACGGUAUAACAUCUAUUUUUUUUUUUUUUUUGACUUAUUUAUUAGUAGUCUAUUAUUGUACAUUGAUAUUGUUCUAGUUUUUUUCAAGGAUCUCCUCUCAUGAGUAAUAAUAGUAUUUAAU